rnacentral:misc_RNA from 1 species
GUGAAUCAUCAAAUUUUUGAACGCAACUUGCACUCCCUGGUAUUACGGGGAGUAUGCCUGUUUGAGGGUCGUUAGAAUACAAAAUCGAUUCGUCGCUCUUUUUUUAAAGGGUGAUCGCGUCGGUAUUGUGCCGUCUUUCACAUGUUAUUUCAUGUAAAAUUGGCCUGAAAUUCCUCCAUCCGGUACGAUUGAUGCGUAUUUAAGAUCAAUUUUGAUUGAGAACGCGCGAUGACGUACUAUCUCAUGUAGUACGUUUGUCAUG